GGGGACCUUCGGCCGCCCGGUGGCUGCGGGUCCUCUGGUACCCGAGGCUGCCUGCGGCGGGCCCAGGCGGCCGCCCGCAGCGGCAGGGACUUCUGGAAGGACCCAGCCCGCUGCGCAGGGCCCUUCAGGUGACACUGAGCCUUCUAGAGUCCCCGGGUAAGGAGCCAUCGUUCCUCCACCUCCCCAGGGCGGGCCUGGCCACCUCCUUGUAACCCUCAUAACCGCCCUGCGGGUCGUGGCGGGGUGUCCCUAGGGGCUGUUUGACAACUAGACUUGACAAGGUCGCUCAGCCGCAGGGCAGCCACCAGGCAGAUCUGGUUUUCAGGACCCUCCACGAGGUGGCCGCGACCCGAUCCAGAUUCUCUAAACUCAGUCACCCUGAAACCAAACUGGCUGUCCUUCCCCUUCGCAGGCAGAGGGCUCAUCCUCAGUCCAAUUGGAACCUCGGUUACCUUUACUUACCUGCCACUCUUAGCCACUUCCCUGGUCCCCACCUUAUCAUACUCUUUGGUGGCUUAACUACAGCCAUCCUCCUUUCCCCACCCCCACUUUCUGGAUACUGUUCUUAUUCUCAAUCCAUAGAGACUUGCUGCUCUCCGUUCUCUCCUUGAGAGAUAAAAAGUUGCUCUUCUUUGUUCUCAAGAAACAGUAACUUGCCUUCUGCAAAAUCAGGUGAUACUUGCUAUGCCAGUGACAAGGGCCAAAUCCGCCGCUAACGCGCGGCCAUGAUCCCGGCCUAUUAAAGGUGAUACUCAAGGGGGAGUUGCUGCUGCGUCCCUCUCCUGCCACUGUCUCCGCGCGGAGCAGCCGGUCAGGUCCCUGACAAUAAAUCUGCUUAUGCCUCUAUCCUUGGAGUGUGCCCCUGUCCUGCUUCACAUUUCUUUCAGUCUUCAUCUUUUGCAACUAACCUGGUUUUCCAGUCCUACUGCCACCAUCUUUGCACCCCUCUGUCACAAACUUCUGUCACUAAUGUAAUCUGCCAUCUUAACUGCUUCUUUCUUUUUGCACAGGCCACUUUGUAGAGUCCUCCAACCCUUGCAUUGAAUGGUUCCCUUGUGUGUUUCCACACACACACACACACACAACUUGUUAAUGAUUUGCUAAGUCCAAAUCAAAACUCCUGAACUUGGCAUUCAAGAUAAUUUGAAAUCUGGCUCCAGCUUACCUUUCUAACCUGACCUCUCUUGGUUCCUUAAGUAGAGGUCAUAAACUGGCAGAUUCAACUGAAAAAUGGGUUUCCACCGGCCAGCAGAAUUUCUUUUUAAAUUUAACUCGAUAUUUGUUUUUAAAUUAGGUGAUAUUGUUCUUUAAAAAAUCCAAAUUUGAGGGCUGUAAUUGUGGCUCAGUGGUAGAGCAUUCACCUAGCAUGCGUGAGGCACUGGGUUUGAUCUAAAGCACCACAUAAAAAUAAAUAAAUAAAAUAAAGGUAUUGUGUCCAUCUACAACUAAAAAGUAUUUAAAAAAAAAAUCCAAAUUUCCA
rnacentral:lncRNA from 1 species